GCAAUGGACGGAAGUCUGACCGAGCAACGCCGCGUGAGUGAAGAAGGUCUUCGGAUCGUAAAGCUCUGUUGUAAGAGAAGAACGAGUGUGAGAGUGGAAAGUUCACACUGUGACGGUAUCUUACCAGAAAGGGACGGCUAACUACGUGCCAGCAGCCGCGGUAAUACGUAGGUCCCGAGCGUUGUCCGGAUUUAUUGGGCGUAAAGCGAGCGCAGGCGGUUAGAUAAGUCUGAAGUUAAAGGCUGUGGCUUAACCAUAGUACGCUUUGGAAACUGUUUAACUUGAGUGCAAGAGGGGAGAGUGGAAUUCCAUGUGUAGCGGUGAAAUGCGUAGAUAUAUGGAGGAACACCGGUGGCGAAAGCGGCUCUCUGGCUUGUAACUGACGCUGAGGCUCGAAAGCGUGGGGAGCAAACAGGAUUAGAUACCCUGGUAGUCCACGCCGUAAACGAUGAGUGCUAGGUGUUAGACCCUUUCCGGGGUUUAGUGCCGCAGCUAACGCAUUAAGCACUCCGCCUGGGGAGUACGACCGCAAGGUUGAAACUCAAAGGAAUUGACGGGGGCCCGCACAAGCCGUGGAGCAUGUGGUUUAAUUCGAAGCAACGCGAAGAACCUUACCAGGUCUUGAC
rnacentral:rRNA from 1 species